rnacentral:rRNA from 1 species
AGGACGAACGCUGGCGGCGUGCCUAACACAUGCAAGUCGAGCGGGGAGAGGAAGCUUGCUUCCGAAUCCUAGCGGCGGACGGGUGAGUAACGCGUGAGCAACCUGCCUCUUACAGGGGGAUAACGCAUCGAAAGAUGUGCUAAUACCGCGUAAGACCACGGUACCGCAUGGUACAGGGGUCAAAGGAGCAAUCCGGUAAGAGAUGGGCUCGCGUCCGAUUAGCUAGUUGGUGAGAUAAAAGCCCACCAAGGCGACGAUCGGUAGCCGACCUGAGAGGGUGAUCGGCCACAUUGGAACUGAGAAACGGUCCAGACUCCUACGGGAGGCAGCAGUGGGGAAUAUUGGGCAAUGGGCGAAAGCCUGACCCAGCAACGCCGCGUGAGGGAAGAAGGGUUUCGGCUCGUAAACCUCUGUCCUAUGGGACGAAGAAGUGACGGUACCAUAGGAGGAAGCCCCGGCUAACUACGUG